GAGGGGGCUAAAGAGUCGAGCGGAAGAUGGGAGCUUGCUCCCUGAUGUUAGCGGCGGACGGGUGAGUAACACGUGGGUAACCUGCCAGGAAGACUGGGAUAACUCCGGGAAACCGGGGCUAAUACCGGAUGGUUGUUUGAACCGCAUGGUUCAGACAUAAAAGGUGGCUUCGGCUACCACUUACAGAUGGACCCGCGGCGCAUUAGCUAGUUGGUGAGGUAACGGCUCACCAAGGCGACGAUGCGUAGCCGACCUGAGAGGGUGAUCGGCCACACUGGGACUGAGACACGGCCCAGACUCCUACGGGAGGCAGCAGUAGGGAAUCUUCCGCAAUGGACGAAAGUCUGACGGAGCAACGCCGCGUGAGUGAUGAAGGUAUUCGGAUCGUAAAGCUCUGUUGUUAGGGAAGAACAAGUGCCGUUCAAAUAGGGCGGCACCUUGACGGUACCUAACCAGAAAGCCACGGCUAACUACGUGCCAGCAGCCGCGGUAAUACGUAGGUGGGAAGCGUUGUCCGGAAUUAUUGGGCGUAAAGGGCUCGCAGGCGGUUUCUUAAGUCUGAUGUGAAAGCCCCCGGCUCAACCGGGGAGGGUCAUUGGAAACUGGGGAACUUGAGUGCAGAAGAGGAGAGUGGAAUUCCACGUGUAGCGGUGAAAUGCGUAGAGAUGUGGAGGAACACCAGUGGCGAAGGCGACUCUCUGGUCUGUAACUGACGCUGAGGAGCGAAAGCGUGGGGAGCGAACAGGAUUAGAUACCCUGGUAGUCCACGCCGUAAACGAUGAGUGCUAA
rnacentral:rRNA from 1 species